UGAGGAAUAUUGGUCAAUGGACGAGAGUCUGAACCCGCCAAGUAGCGUGAAGGAUGACUGCCUAUGGGUUGUAAACUUCUUUUAUACGGGAAUAAGUGAGGCACGUGUGCCUUUUUGUAUGUACCGUAUGAAUAAGGAUCGGCUAACUCCGUGCCAGCAGCCGCGGUAAUACGGAGGAUCCGAGCGUUAUCCGGAUUUAUUGGGUUUAAAGGGAGCGUAGGCGGACGCUUAAGUCAGUUGUGAAAGUUUGCGGCUCAACCGUAAAAUUGCAGUUGAUACUGGGUGUCUUGAGUACAGUAGAGGCAGGCGGAAUUCGUGGUGUAGCGGUGAAAUGCUUAGAUAUCACGAAGAACUCCGAUUGCGAAGGCAGCCUGCUGGACUGUAACU
rnacentral:rRNA from 1 species